GGCGGCUGCCGGUCGGAGCGUGAGGUGAACUGAAUUUCAGAUGUUUUGGGUCGCUGAGGGGAACGCGACCCUGGAAGUGUUUCUGCACUAGAGGCAGCCACACCUGCCGCUCGUCAUCCACAGCCAGCUGCAGCAGAUUACGCUCGUCAAGGGAGCUAUAUUUAAGACUGUGGCUGAGCUGAGGCCAACGCUGGAUCCUUGAGUCAGAACUUGAAUCGGGGAGCGGAGUGUGUUUUUGAAGUCAGUGUGGGAAUAGUUUUUGGAGUCGCUACUUUUCACCUUUCACAGACAUCUGCACUGUGUGGGAUUCAGGGAGAAUCGCCACGGGACCACAGUGCCGGGAUUUGUAUAUAGUUGUGUUUUUUCCACCCUCUGUCAAUAAAUCCAUUGUCCAGUAUAAAUUUUGUAUUUUGUUGCCAGAAGUUUUUCAAUUAUGUAAUGUCUUUUCAAACAUUUUAUCUUAAACAUGAAAUUUAUUAUGAAAAAAAGUACAACAUAUUAUUCAGUCUUAAAUUAAAAUGAGAUGCAACCAACUUCUGAACCGGCUGGAAUAGCUCAUGGCUAGAAUAACACAGCAGUUUGGCUAACUGGUAAACAUCAGCCCAGGGCUCUAGUACGUCUGAAUAGUUUUUCUAGUACAUCUGAAUAGUGGUCUAUUCCUGACAAAUAGACCACAGUCUGUCAGACUCGGCCCACACCUGUC